UACGAAGGUGGCUAGCGUUGUUCGGAAUCACUGGGCGUAAAGCGCACGUAGGCGGAUUUGUUAGUCAGGGGUGAAAUCCCGGGGCCCAACCUCGGAACUGCCUUUGAUACUGCAGAUCUCGAGUCCGGAAGAGGUGAGUGGAAUUCCUAGUGUAGAGGUGAAAUUCGUAGAUAUUAGGAAGAACACAAGUGGCGAAGGCUGCUCACUGGUCCGGUACUGACGCUGAGGUGCGAAAGCGUGGGGAGCAAACAGG
rnacentral:rRNA from 1 species